rnacentral:rRNA from 1 species
AUGAACGCUGGCGGCGUGCCUAAUACCUGCCAGUCGAGCGAACAGACGAGGAGCUUGCUCCUCUGACGUUAGCGGCGGACGGGUGAGUAACACGUGGAUAACCUACCUAUAAGACUGGGAUAACUUCGGGAAACCGGAGCUAAUACCGGAUAAUAUAUUUAACCGCAUGGUUCAAUAGUGAAAGACGGUUUUGCUGUCACUUAUAGAUGGAUCCGCGCCGCAUUAGCUAGUUGGUAAGGUAACGGCUUACCAAGGCGACGAUGCGUAGCCGACCUGAGAGGGUGAUCGGCCACACUGGAACUGAGACACGGUCCAGACUCCUACGGGAGGCAGCAGUAGGGAAUCUUCCGCAAUGGGCGAAAGCCUGACGGAGCAACGCCGCGUGAGUGAUGAAGGUCUUCGGAUCGUAAAACUCUGUUAUUAGGGAAGAACAAAUGUGUAAGUAACUAUGCACGUCUUGACGGUACCUAAUCAGAAAGCCACGGCUAACUACGUG